rnacentral:rRNA from 1 species
UGCGUAGGUGGCGCCGUAAGUCGGGUGUGAAAUUUCGGAGCUUAACUCCGAAACUGCAUUCGAUACUGCGGUGCUUGAGGACUGGAGAGGAGACUGGAAUUCAUGGUGUAGCAGUGAAAUGCGUAGAGAUCAUGAGGAAGACCAGUGGCGGAGGCGGGUCUCUGGACAGUUCCUGACACUGAGGCACGAAGGCCAGGGGAGCAAACG